rnacentral:rRNA from 1 species
GUAGGUGGCAAGCGUUGUCCGGAAUUAUUGGGCGUAAAGCGCGCGCCGGCGGUUCUUUAAGUCUGAUGUGAAAGCCCACGGCUCAACCGUGGAGGGUCAUUGGAAACUGGAGAACUUGAGUACAGAAGAGGAAAGCGGAAUUCCACGUGUAGCGGUGAAAUGCGUAGAGAUGUGGAGGAACACCAGUGGCGAAGGCGGCUUUCUGGUCUGUGACUGACGCUGAGGCGCGAAAGCGUGGGGAGCAAACAGGAUUAGAUACCCUGGUAGUCCACGCCGUAAACGAUGAGUGCUAAGUGUUAGGGGGGUUUUCCGCCCCCUUAGUGCUGCAGCUAACGCAUUAAGCACUCCGCCUGGGAUACGGCCGCAAGGCUG